CUUGCCCAGGCUCAGUCUGGGACGGGCAAGACGGCCACGUUUGCCAUUUCCAUCUUGCAGCAGUUGGACGUGGAGCUGAAGGAGACGCAGGCGCUGGUCCUGGCCCCCACCCGCGAGCUCGCUCUGCAGGUUCAGAAGGUGAUG